CCCAAGAGAUCGGGAUAACACCUGGAAACAGAUGCUAAUACCGGAUAACAACAGAUGAUGCCUAUCAACUGUUUAAAAGAUGGUUCUGCUAUCACUCUUGGAUGGACCUGCGGUGCAUUAGCUAGUUGGUAGGGUAACGGCCUACCAAGGCGAUGAUGCAUAGCCGAGUUGAGAGACUGAUCGGCCACAUUGGGACUGAGACACGGCCCAAACUCCUAUGGGAGGCAGCAGAG
rnacentral:rRNA from 1 species